UGAAAAAGCCUUUGGCUCAAGGCACUC
rnacentral:piRNA from 1 species